rfam:Mycobacterium sp. KMS, complete genome.
GGCGGUCUUCGGUAGUGGCUGCCGGUGACGCGAGUCCCCGGCCGCUUCGAUCGACGGCCGUA